rnacentral:rRNA from 1 species
AUUGAACGCUGGCGGCAUGCUUUACACAUGCAAGUCGAACGGCAGCGCGGGCUUCGGCCUGGCGGCGAGUGGCGAACGGGUGAGUAAUGCAUCGGAACGUGCCCAGUAGUGGGGGAUAGCCCGGCGAAAGCCGGAUUAAUACCGCAUACGACCUGAGGGUGAAAGCGGGGGACCGAAAGGCCUCGCGCUAUUGGAGCGGCCGAUGUCGGAUUAGCUAGUUGGUGGGGUAAAGGCUUACCAAGGCGACGAUCCGUAGCUGGUCUGAGAAGACGACCAGCCACACUGGGACUGAGACACGGCCCAGACUCCUACGGGAGGCAGCAGUGGGGAAUUUUGGACAAUGGGGGCAACCCUGAUCCAGCCAUGCCGCGUGCGGGAAGAAGGCCUUCGGGUUGUAAACCGCUUUUGUUCGGGAAGAAAUCCUCUGGGCUAAUACCCCGGGGGGAUGACGUUACCGGAAGAAUAAGCACCGGCUAACUACGUG